CCCCGCUUGGGCCGCAGAGCCCGUAUCUUGCAAGGUGUCCCCGAAUGCCCGCUCCUCCCGGAGCCCCUGCCAGAGCCCAGCCUGGGCCUGGGUCUCUCCUAGGCUGAGGAAGAAGCUGCUGCGACGCUGCCUGGUGGGCAGGGUACAAAAUGAAAGCCACAGGAGGACAGUUCCCUCCCCCUGGCUGGGAGUUCAAAGAACUAAUAGCGAGAUUCCUGGGACUACCCGAAAGGGCUCUCGGGCUACAUUCUGACCUCUACCGGGUACCCGCCAGCUGAGAGUGGAGCCCGGAGAUACCUUCUCCCCACAUCUGGAAGGAGGUGUGACUCCGGGAGCUCUGAACCCCCUAAGAAGUCACGGGGCACGGAAAAACAAUCAAUUCUGAACGUGGUUCCCCAGCACACCAAAGAAGGCGCUUUUGCAGAAAGAAAGGGAAUCGAUGAGCGGCCACAUGACCGGGAUGCCUUCCCUGCCGCCCUCUCCCCGAGGAAAAGAAAGUGAUAGCAUUGCGAAGGGGGAGCCCACCGCUCCGACUCUGGUGAUUAUUGUCAGAUCUGCCCGCCUCGAGUCACCAAACUUGUAGAGACUGCCUGCAUUCCUUGGCACAUGGCCCCCUUCCACAGUCUUGAAGCCUUCUUACAGGGCACCAUUCAGAUACUGACUCUUCUGCCCUCCUCUCCCACGUUAAAGAACCCUUGCAAUUACAUUGGGCUCAAGUGGGCAGCCCAGUAUUCUAUCUUUUAACACCAGCUAAAUAGCAACCUUAAUUUCAUCUGCUACCUUGAUUAUCCUUAUGCUAUUAUGUAGCAUAAUAUGCAUACUCACUGGUUCCUGGAUUAGGGAGUAGACAUCUUUAGGAAGCUAUUAUUCUGCUGGGCACAUUUAGGAUAAUAGUGAUAAUCUAUAUAACAGAGUUGUGGGGAAGAUUUUAAAAAAUCA